UCAAAAAAUAAAUCAACCUGGACUUUUUGGGAACGUAAACCCUGGAAUAAACCCGGGAAUGCUGUAACUAUAUUUAUUUAGUUAUUUAUUUUUACCUCCACAAAUGACUUGGCCCAUCUGUCCAUGUAAAUAUUUAAUGAGACCCUGCAGCAAAAGUUGCAAACGCCUGGUCUAAACACAUAUCAUAGGAGGCGAGACAUCAUUCAAAAAGAACAUGUCACAAUUUUUAUGCAACGUUGAAAACAGAGUGCUAAAGUGAUGCUGCUCUAAAGUUGAAGUUAUAUUUCACAGAAGUGAAGGCGGGCCCCAUGACCCACCGUGCGGCCUAUUAAUAGAACUUGAGGGUGGAUGUUUAUGGCAAGACACAACAAUUGACAACAUUCAAACACAUAGGUUACAAAAACUCCCCAACUGCAGUAACAGUUGAACAGAAGCAAAAGCGUCAUCACUGAUAUUAAUCUUCCAUGUUUUCCUCAGGUGAAAAGGAUCGCAAUGGAGGUUGUUCGUUCAAUGGGAGAAACAAUUUCAAGUGACAACCAUAACAAUCGAAUGAAUAGCUUUAUUCAGUGGCCGCCGCUAAUUUGUGGAUCACCUAUUUGCGGAUUUAAACCCUCGCCCCAUAUAUGACAAUAUAACAAUACUCACAGGCAUAUAUUCUUUAUCCUCUGCGAAAAAUAAGGAAUAUUACAGCAUCUUGCUGAGAUUUUGUAACUGGCUCCUUCAUGUAUAGACAUAUACUUGUAUUAUGCUGCUCUCUGGUGGCCAAAGUUAAUUAAUCAUGAUACACAAACUGUUCAAUUCUCUGCAUUCAACCAUGUUAUAUUACUUUGUAUUUAUGAUAUACAACUAUACAGUGCCCUUUUCUUUAUUAAAAAAAAACACAUUACAAAAACGACUCUUGGGCUUUUUAGUGCGAUAAUAAGAGAUACUAAACACUGCUUUGGCGCCACCAUGUGGCAACUUAGUGCCAAACAACUAGGUUGAAGUAAGGAGGAGGAGCUUCAUUUAGCCAAAACAGUGGUUUGCCGCCAUCUUGUCACGUGUCCAGACAAAAACCUUAUUGGGGAGCAUCAGUUAUUCAGGCAUUUUCGCUCUUUGCGGCACAGCGCACAUUCACUUCAUUUGGUGCUCUACCGAACACAAUAAACACGGGCUGUCGAAAAUAAAGCCCCAAAUUACUGCUGCAACACAAGGGACAGCUUCAGAUGUCGCUCAAAGGCACCACCCCAAUACAAAUGGUCAAAGCAUGUGAACCACUUGCAACAUAUCCAAAGGGAAAAUGGAAUAGAGAUAAACACGGAUGCAUUUGUUUGCAACCGGUAUUUGGUUUAACUAACUAACCCAAGCAAGGCAUAUCAUCAGCACAAGUCCACCUCUUUAUCACUUCUUCAGAGAAGGAAAAUAAUAAAAAUAAUUUAAACAUACAAAGACACUUUUAGGGUUAAUAUUCCUGGAACAAGGAGAUACAGUGAACCCCCAUGAUAGAUAGAUAGAUAGAUAGAUAGAUAGAUAGAUAGAUAGAUAGAUAGAUAGAUAGAUAGAUAGAUAGGAUCUCUCUUUCGCCAAUCAUGGGUUGGUCAGGAACAUGUUACCCAAUAAACGGGGGUUCCGUGUAUCAUGAACGAAUGACAAAGUAAAAGUCACAAUCAUGUCAUGCUACUGCAUAGUGUAAAAAAAAGAGCAAAAAAAAAACCCUAACACUAAACAGCAGACAGUAAUUACAUGGAAAAGCUCCAAACCGCUGCUAGUUUGUCACUGUUUCUCCAUGUAAUUGAUCUCUCUCACCACAGGCAACCGUCGAAAAAUAUACAGUGAACCCUGGCUAUAACACCGUUCAUCUUUUUUCGCUGUGAGUGCAGAUUUUUUUUUGAAAACAGUGUGUCUGCGUCCUGAUUGGGUGGGGGACUGUAGACCAAUGUCAAAUCUCCGCGCUUCGUCAAUGUACAGCUUACCAAAUUUAGGUUUGCAACAAAAACAGGUUUGCAUCUUUGGUUUCAUUUUAUAGUACGGUGUUGUGUUUUUUAAUCAUUGUAAAAAUGAAGCUGACCGUAACUGUCGUGAUUCACGGUUAUAUUAAAAUAACGUACGAUCGCGCUUUCCUUUUUCCCGGCAUGUGAUUUGCUGAUGAGUCCACAUUUAUUUAGGUUAUUGUGCCCUCUGCUGUUACAUUUGAGGAUUGCAUUGAGUGGCAGGAAGUGGUUCACGCUGAUUAGGACGGAGUUACGUCUUUUUGAGAAAAGAGACGAAAGCGUGAGGUGCAUACGGAGAGCUUCGAUUUCUUUUCAUGACUCCUACAUUUCUGUUUAGAAGGCGAAACGUGUUCAUCGGCGAUGGACGCGUGGGUGGACAAUAAAGGCUGUUGAACAUUGGUCGACUCGUCAAGUCUUUAUAAAGUAAAAAGAAAACCUUCAUGAGCAGUUCUACCGACUACUUUCGCCUCUCGCGGGUUCUUUCAGGAAUGUACCCCCCCCCCCCGCGAUAAACGAGGGUUCACUGUAUUGUCCAUACUUACCAUGUGAAAAGCACAACUUUAAAUCAGCAUAAUACUGAGAUA